AACGAACGCUGGCGGCAUGCCUAACACAUGCAAGUCGAACGAGAACUUCGGGUCUAGUGGCGCACGGGUGCGUAACGCGUGGGAACCUGCCCUUAGGUUCGGAAUAACUCCCCGAAAGGGGUGCUAAUACCGGAUAAUGUCCUCGGACCAAAGAUUUAUCGCCUUUGGAUGGGCCCGCGUUGGAUUAGCUAGGUGGUAGGGUAAAAGCCUACCAAGGCGACGAUCCAUAGCUGGUCUGAGAGGAUGAUCAGCCACACUGGGACUGAGACACGGCCCAGACUCCGACGGGAGGCAGCAGUGGGGAAUAUUGGACAAUGGGCGAAAGCCUGAUCCAGCAAGGCCGCGUGAGUGAUGAAGGCCUUAGGGUUGUAAAGCUCUUUUACCCGGGAUGAUAAUGACAGGACCGGGAGAAUAAGCUCCGGCUACCUCCGU
rnacentral:rRNA from 1 species